rnacentral:rRNA from 1 species
UGGGUAACCUGCCUCAAAGAGGGGAAUAGCCUCCCGAAAGGGAGAUUAAUACCGCAUAAUAUGUUUAAGUCGCAUGACUUUAACAUCAAAGGAUUUUCUUUUAGAAAUUCCACUUUGAGAUGGACCCGCGGCGCAUUAGCUAGUUGGUGAGGUAACGGCUCACCAAGGCAACGAUGCGUAGCCGACCUGAGAGGGUNAUCGGCACAUUGGAACUGAGACACGGUCCAGACUCCGUAGGGAG